CGGAGAGGGAGCAUGAGAAACGGCUACCACUUCUAAGGAAGGCAGCAGGCGCGCAAAUUACCCAAUCCUGACUCAGGGAGGUAGUGACAAGAAAUAACAAUAAACCAGCUUAUGCCGGUUUAAUUGGAAUGAGUACAAUUUAAACAUCUUAACGAGGAACAAUUGGAGGGCAAGUCUGGUGCCAGCAGCCGCGGUAAUUCCAGCUCCAAUAGCGUAUACUAAAGUUGUUGCAGUUAAAAAGCUCGUAGUUGGAUUUCUGUGGGGGCGGAGCGGCCGGCCGCAACUUGCGGUUCGAGCUAGCGCUUCCCCUACAUCCUGCCGCGAACCGUGCUACCAUUAGUUUGGUGGCGCCGGGGAUCGGCUCGUUUACUUUGAGAAAAAUAGAGUGUUCAAAGCAGGCCACACGCCUUGAAUAAGUUAGCAUGGAAUAAUAAUAAAGGACUUCGGUUCUAUUUUGUUGGUGUUCGGGACUGAAGUAAUGAUUGAUAGGGACAGUUGGGGCGGUCAGUAUUCCAAAGCGAGAGGUGAAAUUCUUAGACCUUCGGAAGACUAACAGCUGCGAAAGCGUUCCGCAAGGAUGUUCCCUUUGAUCAAGAACGAAAGUUGGGGGAUCGAAGACGAUCAGAUACCGUCGUAGUCUCAACUAUAAACUAUACCAGCUAGGGAUCGGCCAACGUUAAAUUAUUCGACUUGGUCGGCACCUUAUGAGAAAUCAAAGCAUCUGGGUUCCGGGGGGAGUAUGGUCGCAAGGCUGAAACUUAAAGGAAUUGACGGAAGGGCACCACCAGCCGUGGAGCCUGUGGCUUAAUUUGACUCAACACGGGAAAACUUACCAGGUCCAGACAUAGUAGGGAUUGACAGAUUGAUAGCUCUUUCUUGAUUCUGUGGGUGGUGGUGCAUGGCCGUUCUUAGUUGGUGGAGUGAUUUGUCUGGUUAAUUCCGUUAACGAACGAGACCCCAGCCUGCUAAAUAGCGCGGUUGAGCUUUGCUCGGCGCGAGCUUCUUAGAGGGACUAUGAUGCGCGAUAGCACAUGGAAGUUUGGGGCAAUAACAGGUCUGUGAUGCCCUUAGAUGUUCUGGGCCGCACACGGGCUACACUGGCGCCUGCAACGAGCAUAUCAGCUGGCCCGAGAGGGUCUUGGCUAAUCUUUUGAACCGGCGCCGUGCUUGGGAUUGACCAUUGCAAUUGUUGGUCAUGCAACGAGGAAUGCCUUGUAAACGCGAGUCAUCAACUCGCAUUGAAUACGUCCCUGCCCUUUGUACACACCGCCCGUCGCUCCUACCGAUGAAUGUUCCGAUGAAAUUUUCGGAGAGCGCUUGUGAAGUUGGUUAUGCCUUCCGAACGAGAGGCUCAAAGUCACUUAAAUCUGAACAUUUCGAGGAAGGAGAAGUCGUAACAAGGUAACC
rnacentral:rRNA from 1 species